rnacentral:rRNA from 1 species
AAUCCAUAGGUUAAUGAGGCGAACCGGGGGAACUGAAACAUCUAAGUACCCCGAGGAAAAGAAAUCAACCGAGAUUCCCCCAGUAGCGGCGAGCGAACGGGGAGGAGCCCAGAGCCUGAAUCAGCAUGUGUGUUAGUGGAAGCGUCUGGAAAGGCGCGCGAUACAGGGUGACAGCCCCGUACACAAAAGCGCAUGUGCUGUGAGCUCGAUGAGUAGGGCGGGACACGUGGUAUCCUGUCUGAAUAUGGGGGGACCAUCCUCCAAGGCUAAAUACUCCUGACUGACCGAUAGUGAACCAGUACCGUGAGGGAAAGGCGAAAAGAACCCCGGCGAGGGGAGUGAAAAAGAACCUGAAACCGUGUACGUACAAGCAGUGGGAGCACAGGUUUACCUGUGUGACUGCGUACCUUUUGUAUAAUGGGUCAGCGACUUAUAUUCUGUAGCAAGGUUAACCGUAUAGGGGAGCCGGAGGGAAACCGAGUCUUAACCGGGCGUUAAGUUGCAGGGUAUAGACCCGAAACCCGGUGAUCUAGCCAUGGGCAGGUUGAAGGUUGGGUAACACUAACUGGAGGACCGAACCGACUAAUGUUGAAAAAUUAGCGGAUGACCUGUGGCUGGGGGUGAAAGGCCAAUCAAACCGGGAGAUAGCUGGUUCUCCCCGAAAGCUAUUUAGGUAGCGCCUCGUGAAUUCAUCUCCGGGGGUAGAGCACUGUUUCGGCUAGGGGGCCAUCCCGGCUUACCAACCCGAUGCAAACUGCGAAUACCGGAGAAUGUUAUCACGGGAGACACACGGCGGGUGCUAACGUCCGUCGUGAAGAGGGAAACAACCCAGACCGCCAGCUAAGGUCCCAAAGUCAUGGUUAAGUGGGAAACGAUGUGGGAAGGCCCAGACAGCCAGGAUGUUGGCUUAGAAGCAGCCAUCAUUUAAAGAAAGCGUAAUAGCUCACUGGUCGAGUCGGCCUGCGCGGAAGAUGUAACGGGGCUAAACCAUGCACCGAAGCUGCGGCAGCGAACGUAUCACUUAAAGCGAUUCAGCGGGUUACGAUUGACGGAGCGAAGCGACGUCAAAGCGUAUACAAAGUCGAGUCGGUUUAAGGAUACGUU